CGGGGCGUGGUGCAGCCUGGUAGCGCAUCUGCUUUGGGAGCAGAGGGUCGCUGGUUCGAAUCCAGUCGCCCCGACCA
rnacentral:tRNA from 1 species